rnacentral:lncRNA from 1 species
GCAAAGGAGGCUGGGAAAUGGAGAGGCAACACAAGGCCACCACAGGGCAUCAUUAAGAGCCACUGUCAUUAAGCUACCACUGUGUGGUAGCACAUUCCUGAAAUCCCAGCACUUUGGGAGGCAGAGGUAAGAAGAUCUCAAGUUCAAACUUCACCUGGGCAACUUAGUGACUUAAUAAGACCCUGUCUCAAAAUAAAAAGGACAACUCAGUGUGAAGGCCCUAGGUUUAAUUCCUAAUACUGCCAAAAAUAUAGUCCCUGUCACAGUCUGUCUUGUAGUUACCAAAUGCCCAUUUGAUUAUCUUUCCUACUACCCUCCUCAGGGAAACAACCCAAAGACCCUGCCAGCAGAAGUCCAGCAUCCAGGGCUCACCUCCCAGCUGUGUGGGCUCUGGGCAUGUGAUGCGCCACUCUCCUCACUUAUGUUGGGAAAAUCACGGAUCAUAUCCCCAGGAGCAGCCAGAAGAAUCCAGUUUCCCAGUCCUGUCCAUCAGAUUGGAUGCAGUGUUUGCUGGUGUUUCCCAGGAAGCAAACUUCAGGGGACUUUGGAUGUUACAGAAAGGAUUAAUGAUGCCCUAUAUUUUGGAUCUUGGUGCAUGUCUGAUCCAAAAAUUCUGAGGACAUCCUUAUACUUUCCAAAUUCCCCAUGUGCUUCAUAGAAGAAGAAGCUAUUCAAGCAACAUCAUGCCUGGAAAGAUUUUUUUAACACUACCUGGUUA